AGGCACCCCCUAGUGAUUGUAUGGCAAGACCAUUAUGUCUUCAAAUAAACUCAAGGAUAUGACUUCCACUUAUUGGUUAUUUACCAAAUACCAGGAAUUUCUCCAAGCAAGAGGCGUCCAUUAGCUCCUUCAGUCCUCCCCACCAUAUUGUUCAGCCAGUGUGACUCUGGACCCAGACACAGCUCAUCGUGAACUAAUUCUGUCUGAGGAUCGGAGACAUGUGACCCGUGGCAGCCCCCAGGAGAAGCAUCUCAGUUUUAGGAGAUUCCAUGCCUUACCCAGUGUCCUAGGCUGUGAGGGCUUCACCUCAGGAAGACAUUACUUUGAAGUGGAUAGCCACUGAGGACAGCACGCUGAGGACUGAGCCUGCAGGGUGUUCAAAGAUGCUUUCUUCAUCCUGCUAAAUGAGAGGUCUCUUGAGAAAGGGGCUGAUCCUGUGGAAUUUCGUCACGAAAAUGGAGACUCCUUUCUGCCUUGUCGGGAGAAUGAAGAGGUGAAGGAAAAGAAGUGAAUCCCUUGAUUGGGAGAAUGUGCAGGUGAUCAGCCUGGGAGAGGUGGAAUUUGAAGAGCCCAAAUUGUUUACCAGGAAGCUACAUCUCUGCCUACCCAGGAGGGAGAGAGCUCCAGCUCCACUGAGAACAGCUAAACAGUGUCUCUGUCUCUGAGUCUACCGAGAGACAGCUGCUGAGUUGGUGACCACCAAAGUGGCAUUUUACAUGAAGCAUGAAGGGAACUGUUGACUUCACACACCUUGGAAGCACCUUAACAUUUACUUCACAUCAAAGUAAAGCUCAGGAACAUGGCACACAUUUGAGGCUCCAAAGAGAAGGUCUCUGGCAAUUCCAGUUCACAUCUGAAUUCCUACAAGAAACGGGGAACAUUCCAUUCAGCGCUGGGUAGCCACACAACCGCCUACAUCCUCACACUCCCACAUUUUACAGACUCAGCUGUUUAAUGUGUCUUUCACAUGAUACAGUGAAAACAAAGACAAAUGUGAGUGUGGCAAAA